AUUGAACGCUGGCGGCAGGCCUAACACAUGCAAGUCGAGCGGAUGAGUGGAGCUUGCUCCAUGAUUCAGCGGCGGACGGGUGAGUAAUGCCUAGGAAUCUGCCUGGUAGUGGGGGACAACGUUUCGAAAGGAACGCUAAUACCGCAUACGUCCUACGGGAGAAAGCAGGGGACCUUCGGGCCUUGCGCUAUCAGAUGAGCCUAGGUCGGAUUAGCUAGUAGGUGAGGUAAAGGCUCACCUAGGCGACGAUCCGUAACUGGUCUGAGAGGAUGAUCAGUCACACUGGAACUGAGACACGGUCCAGACUCCUACGGGAGGCAGCAGUGGGGAAUAUUGGACAGUGGGCGGAAGCCUGAUCCAGCCAUGCCGCGUGUGUGAAGAAGGUCUUCGGAUUGUAAAGCACUUUAAGUUGGGAGGAAGGGCAGUAAGUUAAUACCUUGCUGUUUUGACGUUACCAACAGAAUAAGCACCGGCUAACUUCGUGCCAGCAGCCGCGGUAA
rnacentral:rRNA from 1 species